GGGGCUGUGAUCUAUGGGGCAGAAGGGCUGUGCUAUGGGGCUGAGAUCUAUGGGGCUGCAAUCUAUGGGGCAGAAGGGCUGUGCUGUGGGGCUGAGGUCUAUGGGGCUGAAGGGCUGUGCUAUGGGGCAGAGAUCUAUGGGGCUGAGAUCUAUGGGGCUGAGAUCUAUGGGGCAGAAGAGCUGUGCUAUGGGGCUGUGAUCUAUGGGGCAGAAGGGCUGUGCUAUGGGGCAGAGAUCUAUGGGGCAGAGAUCUAUGGGUCAGAAGGGCUGUGUUAUGGGGCUGAGAUCUAUGGGACAGAAGGGCUGUGCUGUGGGGCUGAGAUCUAUGGGGCAGAAGGGCUGUGCUGUGGGGCUGUGCUGUGUGUGUGGGUCCCGCUAUGGGGCUGACCCCUCUCUCCCCCUCCCCCCCCCAAAGGCUCCGCCCCACGGAAGGCGCUGUGGGGGCCGUGAGAACCGAACGCCCCCCGACUGCAGCCGCGACGACGAUAAAUACCGACGGCGGCCCCACAGAGCCUGGCUGCCCCACCGCCUCAGGUGUGGGGCC
ensembl:lncRNA